UUUAAUUGAAACCAAAAAGAGGUAUAUCACUGUUAAUGAUAUAAAUGAGAUCACACUCCAAUUAAAG
rnacentral:tRNA from 1 species